AUAUGUAUCUUCACCAGGGACAUUGAUGGUAACACUGAGAAUUUGUUCACCAAAAUCAACUGUGACAUUUUCUGCUGGAAUGCCCUUUGCAAAAAUUGUUAAAACCACUUCCUCUGGCUUCUGGUAGUAUUCAUGUCUGUAUUUUGGUUUUUCUGAAGAGAUUGUUUCAUUCUUACAGGAACCAACAGAUGCAGGUGUAGCACUCAGUGGAACAUUUGGUGCCAAGGACUUCCUUUGAUCAUAAAACUCCUCUGCUAUGUGCAGAUCACAUUCUUUGAUCAACUUGGUAAAUCUGGAAUCAUCUGGAGCCAAAGAUGCACCGAUUUCAAGGGCUCUCUUGGCUGUAUGAUAUUCUUCAAGCUUCAUACAGGCAGUACCUUUACGCAAAUAUGCCUUGGCAAUCGAAGAAGCCAACUCAAUAGCCUUGUUAGCAUCAGCAACGGCCUCAGUGAAGUUAUUGAGUUUAAUAUAGGCCUGAGCUCGGUCGGCGAAGUAAUCAGCGUUGGUGGGGUCCAAUUCGAUGGCUUUGGAAUAUAAAUCCAAGGCCAGUUCGAAAUCAUCAUCGAUGAUUGCUUCUUUUGCCUUCUCAGCCAACUCGCUGGCCAUUGUUGAAGCUUUUGGGCUAAGAGAAUAGAGUGUAGUGAGGAUUGAGAGUGAUUUGAGACUAUCCAACAAGAAAAGGGAGAGAAAGCGAUGGAGGGAAAAAUUGG
rnacentral:misc_RNA from 1 species